AAUCAGUGUUGUGGGCACUUUCUCAGAAGCUCCUUGAACCUUUCCCAUAUCUAAAAUAGAGACUUCAAUUCCAACUGAACAAAAUAUGAGAUCUCAUUCCUAAGCUU